rnacentral:rRNA from 1 species
UACGUAGGGAGCAAGCGUUGUCCGGAAUCAUUGGGCGUAAAGCGCGCGUAGGUGGCUUCGUAAGUCCGUUGUGAAAGUCAAAGGCUCAACCUUUGAAUGCCGAUGGAUACUGCGGAGCUAGAGUACGGAAGAGGCGAGUGGAAUUCCUGGUGUAGCGGUGGAAUGCGCAGAUAUCAGGAGGAACACCAAUAGCGAAGGCAGCUCGCUGGGACGUUACUGACACUAAGGCGCGAAAGCAUGGGGAGCGAACAGG